rnacentral:snoRNA from 1 species
CAAAUGAUUACUGUUUACAACUCUCAUUCUGCUGAGCUUUUGAUGUUACCAACGUAAAAUGAGC